UACGGAGGGGGCUAGCGUUGUUCGGAAUUACUGGGCGUAAAGCGCACGUAGGCGGCUUUGUAAGUUAGAGGUCAAAGCCCGGGGCUCAACUCCGGAAUUGCCUUUAAGACUGCAUCGCUCGAAUUGUGGAGAGGUAAGUGGAAUUCCGAGUGUAGAGGUGAAAUUCGUAGAUAUUCGGAAGAACACCAGUGGCGAAGGCGACUUACUGGACACAUAUUGACGCUGAGGUGCGAAAGCGUGGGGAGCAAACAGG
rnacentral:rRNA from 1 species